rnacentral:rRNA from 1 species
GACGAACGCUGGCGGCGUGCCUAACACAUGCAAGUCGAACGGAAAGGCCCUGCUUUUGUGGGUUGCUCGAGUGGCGAACGUGUGAGUAACACGUGAGUAACCUUCCCUUGACUUUGGGAUAACUUCAGGAAACUGGGGCUAAUACCGGAUAGGAGCUCCUGCUGCAUGGUGGGGUUUGGAAAGUUUCGGCGGUUGGGGAUGGACUCGCGGCUUAUCAGCUUGUUGGUGGGGUAGUGGCUUACCAAGGCUUUGACGGGUAGCCGGCCUGAGAGGGUGACCGGCCACAUUGGGACUGAGAUACGGACCAGACUCAUACGGGAGGCAGCAGUGGGGAAUAUUGCACAAGGGGCGGAAGCCUGAUGCAGCAACGCAGCGUGCGGGAUGAAGGUCUUGGGGUUGUGAACCGCUUUCGCCUGUGACGAGGAGUGAGUGACGGUAAUGGGUAAAGAAGCACCGGCUAACUACGUG